UGUUUGCAUGGAACUGCUCCACUAUCUAAGC
rnacentral:piRNA from 1 species